UGCUACAGUAUCUACCGGGAAAGCUCGCCCU
rnacentral:piRNA from 1 species